rnacentral:rRNA from 1 species
UAGGGCAUCGACACGUGCUACAAUGGCCGGUACAAAGCGACGCAAGACCGCGAGGUGGAGCCAAUCGACAAAAAACCGGCCCCAAGUUCGGAUUGCAGGCUGGCAACUCGCCUGCAUGAAGUUGGAAUCGCUAGUAAUCGCGAAUCAGCUAUGUCGCGGUGAAUGUGUUCCUGAGCCUU